UGGAGAAGAAUGGAUUGUGAUGUGACCAUUCCCCCUGGAUUUUGCAGAAGUUCCGAAGAAUGAAUCAAAGAAGGCAAUCAUUAACAUUUUCUGGAGAGGAUACAUUUCGAUGAUAUAAAUUAGAUCUACAAAUUAAUCAUUAAGCAAAAUCAUAAUGCUGGACCAGCAUAUGGCAUAAUGGUUACAUCGCUGG